rnacentral:rRNA from 1 species
GAGUUUGAUCUUGGCUCAGGACGAACGCUGGCGGCGUGCCUAAUACAUGCAAGUCGAGCGAGGGUUUUCGGACCCUAGCGGCGGACGGGUGAGUAACACGUAGGCAACCUGCCUCUCAGACCGGGAUAACAUAGGGAAACUUAUGCUAAUACCGGAUAGGUUUUGGAUUGCAUGAUCCGAAAGAAAGAUGGCUUUUUGCUAUCACUGGGAGAUGGGCCUGCGGCGCAUUAGCUAG